rnacentral:lncRNA from 1 species
GGGGAAGACAGGUGGAUUAUAGAGCUAGGGUAGGGGCAAAUCGAAGGCCCAUCGGGAUUGGGCAUAGACGAGCCUUGACUGGGCCAGCAUUGAUGAAAAAAGAAAAACUUCUCCCAUAGCAUCAUUAACCGGUGUAGGAUUCACAAUCAGGUCCAGGAUUCGAGUCAAAUCGACCUUCCCUCUCAUCUCAGGGUGAGGCAAGGAAUUGUUUCAAAUGUUC